GAUGAAGAACGUAGUGAAAUGCGAUAAGUAGUGUGAAUUGCAGAAUUCAGUGAAUCAUCGAAUCUUUGAACGCACAUUGCGCCCGUCAGUAUUCUGGCGGGCAUGCCUGUUCGAGCGUCAUUACGCCCCUCAAGUCCCCUGUGGACUUGGUGUUGGGGAUCGGCGAGGCUGGUUUUCCAGCACAGCCGUCCCUUAAAUUAAUUGGCGGUCUCGCCGUGGCCCUCCUCUGCGCAGUAGUAAAACACUCGCAACAGGAGCCCGGCGCGGUCCACUGCCGUAAAACCCCCCAACUUUUUAUAGUUGACCUCGAAUCAGGUAGGACUACCCGCUGAACUUAAGCAUAUCAAUAAGCGGAGGA
rnacentral:misc_RNA from 1 species